rnacentral:rRNA from 1 species
UGGAACUGAGACACGGUCCAGACUCCUACGGGAGGCAGCAGUGGGGAAUUUUGGACAAUGGGGGCAACCCUGAUCCAGCCAUACCGCGUGAGUGAAGAAGGCCUUCGGGUUGUAAAGCUCUUUCAGACGGAAAGAAACGGUCACGGCUAAUACCCCUGGCUAAUGACGGUACCGUAAGAAGAAGCACCGGCUAACUACGUGCCAGCAGCCGCGGUAAUAC